GAUGAACGCUGGCGGCGUGCCUAAUACAUGCAAGUCGAGCGAACGGACGAGAAGCUUGCUUCUCUGAUGUUAGCGGCGGACGGGUGAGUAACACGUGGAUAACCUACCUAUAAGACUGGGAUAACUUCGGGAAACCGGAGCUAAUACCGGAUGAUAUUUUGAACCGCAUGGUUCAAAAGUGAAAGACGGUCUUGCUGUCACUUAUAGAUGGAUCCGCGCUGCAUUAGCUAGUUGGUAAGGUAACGGCUUACCAAGGCAACGAUGCAUAGCCUACCUGAGAGGGUGAUCGGCCACACUGGAACUGAGACACGGUCCAGACUCCUACGGGAGGCAGCAGUAGGGAAUCUUCCGCAAUGGGCGAAAGCCUGACGGAGCAACGCCGCGUGAGUGAUGAAGGUCUUCGGAUCGUAAAACUCUGUUAUUAGGGAAGAACAUAUGUGUAAGUAACUGUGCACAUCUUGACGGUACCUAAUCAGAAAGCCACGGCUAACUACGUG
rnacentral:rRNA from 1 species